GAUUUCUCUAGAAUUUGGAAACAGUUUUCACUGAAAACUAAGCUGUUCUUCUGUAAAGCCCUGCAAACUGAAGCUAGACAACUUAAUCAUCAGAAGAAAAUAAUGGACAUGAAACUUCACAACCUGCUAAAAAUGAACUUUCCUAAUAACUCAGAACCUACCUGUCUAGGAAUAAACCAUCCUAGCCUUGAGCACUCAGAUGACCAGAGACUUAUUUUCUUCUAAAAUGCUUUCUCUAAAAUAUUUUAAAAAAGAAAAGGGGGGAAAUGUGAAAGGAAAAUAAAAAAUCUUGGGGCCUCCAAAUCACUAAACUGGGAAAGUCAAGCUUGGAACUUCUUAGGGCAAACCUGCCUUUCUAUUCAAAGUCAUCCCUCUGCUCACUGAGAUAAAUGCACAUCUGAUUGCCUCCUUUGGAAAGGCUAAUCAGAAACUCAAAGAAUGCAACUGUUUGUCUCUC